ACCAGUUUGGCCAUAUUUCAGAGCUGCAACAUCACUGGAAAAGGACGUAAGGCAGCUCUCACCUGCAAUAGUAGAAUCACCAGAGGUGCACGGAUGCCGCUCCUGGAUGCGGUAUAUGCAAUAAAAAAGAGAAGAAAAUAUGGCUCUCUUCGGUGAAAAAAUGAAAAACUUUAU